AUUGAACGCUGGCGGUAUGCUUAACACAUGCAAGUCGAACGGAAACGAUACUAGCUUGCUAGUAGGCGUCGAGUGGCGGACGGGUGAGUAACGCGUAGGAAUCUGCCUGAUAGUGGGGGAUAGCCCGAAGAAAUUCGGAUUAAUACCGCAUAAUCUAUUCGUAGUAAAGUGGGGGACUUUCGAGCCUCACGCUAUCAGAUGAGCCUGCGUAAGAUUAGCUUGUUGGUAGGGCAAAAGCCUACCAAGGCGACGAUCUUUAGCUGGUCUGAGAGGAUGAUCAGCCACAUCGGGACUGAGACACGGCCCGAACUCCUACGGGAGGCAGCAGUGGGGAAUAUUGGACAAUGGGGGCAACCCUGAUCCAGCAAUACCGCGUGUGUGAAGAAGGCCUGAGGGUUGUAAAGCACUUUCAAUUGUGAAGAAAAGUUAGCGGUUAAUAACCGUUAGCCUUGACGUUAACUUUAGAAGAAGCACCGGCUAACUCCGUGCCAGCAGCCGCGGUAAUACGGAGGGUGCAAGCGUUAAUCGGAAUUACUGGGCGUAAAGCGUGCGUAGGCGGUUUAUUAAGUCAGAUGUGAAAGCCCCGGGCUUAACCUGGGAACUGCAUUUGAAACUGGUCAACUAGAGUAUGGUAGAGGAAAGUGGAAUUUCUGGUGUAGCGGUGAAAUGCGUAGAUAUCAGAAGGAACAUCAAUGGCGAAGGCAGCUUUCUGGACCAAUACUGACGCUGAGGUACGAAAGCGUGGGUAGCAAACAGGAUUAGAUACCCUGGUAGUCCACGCCGUAAACGAUGAUAACUAGCCGUUGGGGGGAUUUACCCUUUAGUGGCGAAGCUAACGCGUUAAGUUAUCCGCCUGGGGAGUACGGCCGCAAGGUUAAAACUCAAAGGAAUUGACGGGGACCCGCACAAGCGGUGGAGCAUGUGGUUUAAUUCGAUGCAACGCGAAGAACCUUACCUGGUCUUGACAUCCUGCGAACUUUCUAGAAAUAGAUUGGUGCCUUCGGGAACGCAGUGACAGGUGCUGCAUGGCUGUCGUCAGCUCGUGUCGUGAGAUGUUGGGUUAAGUCCCGUAACGAGCGCAACCCCUAUCCUUAUUUGCCAGCACAUCAUGGUGGGAACUAUAAGGAGACUGCCGGUGAUAAACCGGAGGAAGGCGGGGACGACGUCAAGUCAUCAUGGCCCUUACGACCAGGGCUACACACGUGCUACAAUGGGAAGGACAAAGAGCCGCGAAGCCGCGAGGUGUAGCUAAUCUCAUAAACCUUUUCGUAGUCCGGAUUGGAGUCUGCAACUCGACUCCAUGAAGUCGGAAUCGCUAGUAAUCGUAGAUCAGAAUGCUACGGUGAAUACGUUCCCGGGUCU
rnacentral:rRNA from 1 species